GAUGAACGCUGGCGGCGUGCCUAAUACAUGCAAGUCGAGCGAACAGAUGAGGAGCUUGCCCCUCUGACGUUAGCGGCGGAUGGGUGAGUAACACGUGGAUAACCUCCCUAUAAGAACGGGAUAACUUCGGGAAACCGGAGCUAAAACCGGACAAUAUAUCGAACCGUAUGGUUCAAUAGUGUAAGACGGUUUUGCUGCUACUUAUAGAUGGACCCGCGCCGCAUUAGCUAGUUGGUAAGGUAACGGCUUACCAAGGGAACGAUGCGUAGCCGACCUGAGAGGGUGAUCGGCCACACUGGAACUGGGACGCGGUCCAGACUCCUACGGGAGGCCGCAGUAGGGAAUGUUCCGCAGUGGGCGAAAGCCUGACGGAACAACGGCGCGUGAGUGAUGACGGUCUUCGGAUCGUAAAACUCUGUUUUUAGGGAAGAACAAAUGUGUGAGUAGCUAUGCACUUCUUGACGGUACCUAAUCAGAAAGCCACGGCUAACUACGUG
rnacentral:rRNA from 1 species